CACGUGGGCAACCUGCCUGUAAGACUGGGAUAACUCCGGGAAACCGGGGCUAAUACCGGAUAACACAAAGAACCGCAUGGUUCUGUGUUAAAAGAUGGCUCUGCUAUCACUUACAGAUGGGCCCGCGGCGCAUUAGCUAGUUGGUGAGGUAACGGCUCACCAAGGCCACGAUGCGUAGCCGACCUGAGAGGGUGAUCGGCCACACUGGGACUGAGACACGGCCCAGACUCCUACGGGAGGCAGCAGUAGGGAAUCAUCCGCAAUGGACGAAAGUCUGACGGUGCAACGCCGCGUGAGUGAUGAAGGUUUUCGGAUCGUAAAACUCUGUUGUUAGGGAAGAACACGUGCUGUUCGAAUAGGGCAGUGCCUUGACGGUACCUAACCAGAAAGCCACGGCUAACUACGUGCCAGCAGCCGCGGUAAUACGUAGGUGGCAAGCGUUGUCCGGAAUUAUUGGGCGUAAAGCGCGCGCAGGCGGUUCCUUAAGUCUGAUGUGAAAGGCCACAGCUCAACUGUGGAGGGCCAUUGGAAACUGGGGAACUUGAGUACAGAAGAGGAGAGCGGAAUUCCACGUGUAGCGGUGAAAUGCGUAGAUAUGUGGAGGAACACCAGUGGCGAAGGCGGCUCUCUGGUCUGUGACUGACGCUGAGGCGCGAAAGCAUGGGUAGCGAACAGGAUUAGAUACCCUGGUAGUCCAUGCCGUAAACGAUGAGUGCUAGGUGUUAGGGGGUCCAACCCUUAGUGCUGCAGUUAACGCAAUAAGCACUCCGCCUGGGGAGUACGGCCGCAAGGCUGAAACUCAAAGGAAUUGACGGGGGCCCGCACAAGCGGUGGAGCAUGUGGUUUAAUUCGACGCAACGCGAAGAACCUUACCAGGUCUUGACAUCUUCGGACCACCCUAGAGAUAGGGUCUUCCCUUCGGGGACCGAAUGACAGGUGGUGCAUGGUUGUCGUCAGCUCGUGUCGUGAGAUGUUGGGUUAAGUCCCGCAACGAGCGCAACCCUUGAUCUUAGUUGCCAGCAUUCAGUUGGGCACUCUAAGGUGACUGCCGGUGACAAACCGGAGGAAGGUGGGGAUGACGUCAAAUCAUCAUGCCCCUUAUGACCUGGGCUACACACGUGCUACAAUGGAUGGUACAAAGGGAAGCGAAACCGCGAGGUCAAGCCAAUCCCAUAAAGCCAUUCUCAGUUCGGAUUGUAGGCUGCAACUCGCCUGCAUGAAGCCGGAAUCGCUAGUAAUCGCGGAUCAGCAUGC
rnacentral:rRNA from 1 species